GGUUCAUACUCUGAGCUGAUAUUUGCCCGGUGUCGGCUUUGCCGGUAUGCUGGCUUUCAGCGCGGCUAUCGCUCGCCGGAUGGGGGGUAGGUUCUUGCCAACAACACGGGUCAUACGCUGUCACGAAACAAAAACAUAAAUCAUACCGGACUUUAAGACAGAAGGAUUCAAACAAAAAAAAAAGCGAGCCCGAAACAUGUAAGGAAAAGGAAACACAAACCGGAAACAGAAUCACGAACUUACUGGGGAUGUCAAACGCAAACACUCACCGCGAAGCUUGCUUGGCAGCUGUUUCGCCAAGCAUUAGCCCUCCCCCAAGGAACCCCUGGGUUCCCAUACCUUGAUGCCCCUCAUACGUAUCCUGGGCAUCCCAACUUCGCUGAUUUACCUUCACUUACCUUUCACUCAUUCCUUCCCACACCACCUUUCAAAAACAGCCUUAGGCUGAACACAUACUGUUGCCUUGUAAAAACAUUAUAAAACUGCCUUUAUUGGCAUCAACAGAAAAUACAUAUCAUAACAAUAAUCAAAGUUUCGACCAUGGGGUCCCCAUUUCGCCUUUGAUCUGGCAUCGUCUAGUCAUCUUCCUCCGCUGAAGUAAGGAUUUCCACCCGCUUCGGCCGGGCUGCCGCUAAUAUCCGUCCGCGUAUUAGUAUCCGUCCGUUGUUUGUUCUGUCCGUCCGUGUUGUCAAUAUAAACAUAUCAUACCUUUUUCUAUUUUCUUUUUUAAUUACUCCUUUCUUUUCUGGUUGGACAAGAUGAUAUUUGCCCGGUGGGCAAAAACUCCCUAUUCAACGUUUUGAGGACCUACCCGGAUUAGAGCUCUGAUCCUAGCGCCUACGGCUCCUUCUAAAACGGAACCCACUGCAACUGAGUUGGGACAAAUAGCCCUUCUUGUCUCCCCCAGGUCGUCCGUCUUAGUCCGAAGUCCGGCAUUUACCCCUGCAACCCGGAGGAGGUUACAAGCAUCUGGAGCUCCCACGUUGAUUGGAGAGGCGAUGGUGGCUAGAUGCGGUUGAUGAUGGUGUAUCCGUUGUUUUUUUUUUUUUUUUUUAACUUUAUUUUUAAGAUGUAGCGUUAUGUAGCUUGUAAGAUUUUAGUCUUAUUUAGAUUGUAAUUUUUCUUUUAGGUAUGCUCAAUUCUUAGAUAUCUUCGUAACUUUAAGAUGUAUUCAAUUCACUGUUUGUUUGUUUUUUUCUUUUUUAUCUAGCUUGUAGAUUUUAAGUAUUUUUUUUGCUUGUGGUUUUGUUAACUUAGUUCUUAGGUAAGUUUAGUAUGUAGCCUUUAGGUAAGUUAAGCUUGUAGUUUUAGAUUAUUUUUAUAAUUUCUUAUAUAUUUUUUUUUUUUAGGAUGUAAUUUUUUCUUUAUUUUCAGAUUAUUUAAUAUGUAGUUCGUAAGUUCGAUUUUCCUUCAUGAAUUUAAAAAGAAUAAAAAAAAUCCAUUUUCAGGCAUCUUCUA